GAAGUUCUUCGCACUUUUCGCCAUUUUCUUCGCAGUUAUCGCCGCUAUCAGCGCCAAGUCCUUUGAGGCUAAAGAUCAAAUGAUCGAAUGCUGCUACGAAAUCAAGCAUGGAUUAAAGACAUGCAAAGAGGUGACUUGCUCCGAAAAGGAAGUGCUCGUAAAGGCUGAUUUACUAAAAUGUUGGUGUUGCGAUAGGUGCGAGUAUAGAGCACCAGAGUAAAGGUAAUUCUGGCGCCAUGUAAAAAGGAUUGUUUAUAAUCAAUGAAUAACGAAAUACACCAAAUUCUUAAUAACUGUAAAGUUUAUCGUUUCAAAAUUAAUUGUUUAUUUUAUUUUGUUAAAUAAAGAAUCACUAAAUAAAAAAAAA